CAGUAUUUAGUUUAAAUAAAAUAUAAUAUUUGGGGUAUUAAGAUUUGUAUAUACUGA
rnacentral:tRNA from 1 species